AUCAUAACUUCAUAUUGAUUUAACUGGUAAAUGCCAGUUUCUUUUUUUCUCUAAAACAAUUUAACAGGAGAAAAGGGUGCGUUGAGUGUUCUUAUUUCUCUUUUAUAUAACCUUCGUUUUGAUGUUUAUUGAAAUAUUGCUAACUUGCUUUUAGCUUUGAUCUAUUUUAAAUUUUACUUACGGGACUAUUACUGGAAAAGAACAUUAUUGCUUAAUAUAUUACAGAGUUGCGUUACAUGAAAUUUUCUAAUGGAUGAAUCCGUGUGAACUAGAUCUUCUACCACACAAUCUUAUAAGCAGAAAUUUUCCAUAAUGUACAUUUCUUUUUCUACCACUAUACACAUUUUAAUGGCAAAAACAUCAAGAAUGACCCUGAAAAACAGGACUAGCAUGGAAUUAAUUUCAUAGAUUUCAGUUGAUAUUAAAUUAGAUAUGUCUGAAUCUGAUAAAUGUAAUGAAAAGACAACAUCGCACUAUGGCCACUUUUUCUUGUGCGAUAUACACCUUUAUUCAUAUUUAUUCCCACUAGCACAUAAUUGUGCAAAUAAAUUUGGAACACGAAUAAAAACCAGUGAGUAGAGAAGGAAAAGAAAGAAACCUACUCGUGUUUUGUUAUGUACACACAGAAUCAAUGAAAAACUAUAGUAAAGCUGUACAUCAACUAGCACAAACCACCUUCGUUCAUCUUUGGUUCAAUCAAAUCAUGUAUCCCAGUUUCCGGUUUAACAUUGGAUCUUGAACGCUGCGAGCUGAGUGUCAGUAAUUGUUGUAAUGUAAAGAGACCCCAUAAGUAGUCAACAAACUCACAGAAACUAAGGACUUGUACAAUCCCUUUCUUGUGGAGCUGGCGAAGCAAGUCAUUGAGCCACUUAUAAGCUCCCCUAUCUAUCACAAUUAUCCCCUAUCUGUCACAGUUUCGUCAUGUAUAUAUAGUUUCUUUAGAUACCGAAACUGGGAGAUGGCAGCACAGGACUGUGAGGAGAGGUUGAUUGAGAGAGAACCGGUUGUUGGCGGGGAAGAGACGGCGAUUGCAAGAUUGGAGACGAAGCAAUUUUAUUUUCCUUGCGAAAUGAUCUCAAGUUUUUAGAAUUAAUAUGAAUAUUAGACAUUGCCAUACUUUGUUGGACAGUACUCCAUGAACUUGUGUCUUUUGAAGUUGUGAACUCUACGCUUGUUAACAAGAAUGACCACGCCUCGCAUGUAUUUUUAUACCGCAAUAAAAUACACUUUCUAAAGAAAAACACGAGAGAAACGAUGUAAACGAACACAACUGACCGAUUCAUAAAAGAGUUGUUCAUGUCCUAAGACAAAAAAAAAAAAGAUGAAGCAUAUUUGUAACCGCAAACGGGAAGCAAGGAGACACAUAACCGAC